UAUCAGGGAAACUUAACAUGCCUGUGUUUCGUAGUGAACAGGAUAUCUAGGGUUGAGAAUUACUGCGAACACUGUUAUGUUGUCACGUGAGCUGGGGCUCCAUGGUGAUGCACCCUGGGCUCCCAGAACAAUGUGAAGCACUGAGAUGCCCUGCACCUGGGCCUGGGUCAGAAUCCUGGUAGAGGGGUCUUUGGCAAGGACAGGAGAGGACCUCCUUGGGAUUGGACUCAGCUGAGCAGCAGGAUGCCUGGUUGGCUUGGGAGACAAGCAAAGUGGAUCAGCAAAGGCUGCAGUCACCAGCAUCUUUUCCAACCUUAAUGAACUGUAUCCUCAAAAGAACACUAUCAGACUGGUAAGACAAGCAUUAUUGUCCCACUUCACAGAUGAAGAGCUUGGGGGCCCUGUGGAUGUGUAGGAGAGUCGGCCUUCCUUUUUAUAGGCCUUUUGCUGAGCUCAGAGGACAGAGCAGAAGACAAAGCCGAAAGCA
rnacentral:lncRNA from 10 species